rnacentral:rRNA from 1 species
AGGGGCAUCGGGAGGGAAGCUUGCUUUCCUUGCUUGCGACCGGCGCACGGGUGAGUAACACGUAUGCAACCUGCCCUCUUCAGGGGGACAACCUUCCGAAAGGGAGGCUAAUCCCGCGUAUAUCGGUUUCGGGCAUCCGAGAUCGAGGAAAGAUUCAUCGGAAGAGGAUGGGCAUGCGGCGCAUUAGCUAGACGGCGGGGUAACGGCCCACCGUGGCGACGAUGCGUAGGGGUUCUGAGAGGAAGGUCCCCCACACUGGUACUGAGACACGGACCAGACUCCUACGGGAGGCAGCAGUGAGGAAUAUUGGUCAAUGGGAGAGAUCCUGAACCAGCCAAGCCGCGUGAGGGAAGACGGCCCUAUGGGUUGUAAACCUCUUUUGUCGGAGAACAAAACCCGGGACGAGUCCCGGACUGCGUGUAUCCGAAGAAAAAGCAUCGGCUAACUCCGUGCCAGCAGCCGCGGUAAUACGGAGGAUGCGAGCGUUAUCCGGAUUUAUUGGGUUUAAAGGGUGCGUAGGCGGUCCGUUAAGUCAGCGGUAAAAUUGCGGGGCUCAACCCCGUCGAGCCGUUGAAACUGGCAGACUUGAGUUGGCGAGAAGUACGCGGAAUGCGCGGUGUAGCGGUGAAAUGCAUAGA